AAGUCGUAACAAGGUUUCCGUAGGUGAACCUGCGGAAGGAUCAUUAACCUUUCAAAUCAGGGUGCGGCGCGGCCCCCGAGGAGCGGAAACAAUCCUUGGGAGGUAUGCGGGGGCUUCGAGCCCCCCAUUUACGCACGCACGACUGCCAUCCUUACUUUACGAGCACCUUCUGUUCUCCCUCGGCGGGGCAACCUGCCGUUGGAACCGAAUAAACUCUUUUUGCAUCUAGCAUUACCUGUUCCGAAACAAACAAUCGUUACAACUUUCAACAAUGGAUCUCUUGGCUCUGGCAUCGAUGAAGAACGCAGCGAAAUGCGAUAAGUAGUGUGAAUUGCAGAAUUCAGUGAAUCAUCGAAUCUUUGAACGCACAUUGCGCCCCUCGGUAUUCCGUGGGGCAUGCCUGUUCGAGCGUCAUCUACACCCUCAAGCUCUGCUUGGUGUUGGGCGUCUGUCCCGCCUCCGCGCGUGGACUCGCCCCAAAUUCAUUGGCAGCGGUCCUUGCCUCCUCUCGCGCAGCACAUUGCGCUUCUCGAGGGGCUACGGCUCGCGUCCAACAAGCACAUUUACCGUCUUUGACCUCGGAUCAGGUAGGGAUACCCGCUGAACUUAA
rnacentral:rRNA from 1 species